AAUUUGGGACAAUGGGGGAAACGCUGAUCCAGCCAUGCCGCGUGUAUGAUGAAGGUCUUCGGGUUGUAAAGUACUUUUGUCAGAGAAGAAAAGGUAUCUCCUAAUACGAGAUACUGCUGACGGUAUCUGCAGAUUAAGCACUGGCUAACUACGUGCUAGCAGCCGCGGUAAUACGUAGGGUGCAAGCGUUAAUCGGAAUUACUGGGCGUAAAGCGUGUGUAGGCGGUUCGGAAAGAAAGAUGUGAAAUCCCAGGGCUCAACCAUGGAACUGCAUUUUUAACUGCCGAGCUAGAGUAUGGCAGAGGGGGGUAGAAUUCCACGUGUAGCAGUGAAAUGCGUAGAUAUGUGGAGGAAUACCGAUGGCGAAGGCAGCCCCCUGGGAUAAUACUGACGCUCAGACACGAAAGCGUGGGGAGCAAACA
rnacentral:rRNA from 1 species